rnacentral:rRNA from 1 species
AGGACGAACGCUGGCGGCGUGCCUAACACAUGCAAGUGGAGCGACGAACCGGGCUUCGGCCCGGGGCAAAGCCGCGAACGGGUGAGUAACACGUGGGUAACCUGCCCUGAUGAUCGGGACAACCCGAGGAAACUCGGGCUAAUACCGAAUGUGCCCUACGGCCGUAAGGCUGCUGGGGAAAGGAAGCUUCGGCCUCCGCAUCGGGAUGGGCCCGCGGCCCAUUAGCUUGUUGGUGAGGUAACGGCUCACCAAGGCGACGAUGGGUAGCUGGUCUGAGAGGACGAUCAGCCACACUGGGACUGAGACACGGCCCAGACUCCUACGGGAGGCAGCAGUGGGGAAUCUUGCGCAAUGCGCGAAAGCGUGACGCAGCAACGCCGCGUGGGGAAGACGGCCCUCGGGUUGUAAACUGUCUUUUCUUUGGGACGAGCAAGGACGGUACCAGAGGAAUCGAGCCCCGGCUCACUACGCGCCAGCAGCCGCGGUAA